rnacentral:rRNA from 1 species
UGGGGAAUAUUGCACAAUGGGCGAAAGCCUGAUGCAGCAACGCCGCGUGAGUGAUGAAGGCCUUCGGGUCGUAAAACUCUGUCCUCAAGGAAGAUAAUGACGGUACUUGAGGAGGAAGCCCCGGCUAACUACGUGCCAGCAGCCGCGGUAAUACGUAGGGGGCUAGCGUUAUCCGGAUUUACUGGGCGUAAAGGGUGCGUAGGUGGUUUUUUAAGUCAGGAGUGAAAGGCUACGGCUCAACCGUAGUAAGCUCUUGAAACUGGGAAGCUUGAGUGCAGGAGAGGAAAGUGGAAUUCCUAGUGUAGCGGUGAAAUGCGUAGAUAUUAGGAGGAACACCAGUAGCGAAGGCGGCUUUCUGGACUGUAACUGACACUGAGGCACGAAAGCGUGGGGAGCAAACA